rnacentral:rRNA from 1 species
CCUCAAGAUGAGAUUUCCCAUUUCUUCGGAAAGUAAGAUCCCUGAAAGAUGAUCAGGUAGAUAGGUUUGGAGUGGAAGUGUAGCGAUACAUGGAGCGGACAAAUACUAAUCGAUCGAGGACUUAACCAAAA